GGUAGGACAGGUGGUGGUGGUUCACCUCUCUGCCACAGCGCAGGUUAGACCUAGUGGAAGGAGGGGAAUACUUUUAUGUGGAAAAUGUGUCAUUUUUACUUUUUAACUGAACCGCAGACACACAUUCAUGUUCACACACACACUCUAACCUACUUGGUGUAGAGCAGCAGCUUAACAUUCAGGGUGGUCCCAAGGAAGCACUCAUGGAAGUCCAGGUCUGUAAAGUCAUCACACAGUUCACCUACACCAUUCUUCUGGCCUGGGGAGAGAAGGGGAGGAUGUGUACAUGUGCUCAUUGAUACCCUGCUAGGUCAGCAUCAGGUCAUUCUCUGAUCUUACUGUGAACCCCAACGCAUUCUUCUUUCCUUAUACAUUUAAACAUGAACAGACAGCUGGUGAAUGAAGACAGUGAAUACCGAAGAUUUUCAUUUAUAAAGAUAAGCACUGGCCUAACUGACCUCUUUACAUUGCUAUUCACCCCAACCAUUCUGUCUCACUUUCUCCCCCUCCCCUAGCCACUGUUCUUUGUCACAGGUGAAAGGUUAAAGGUGCCGGUCUGAACCUUGCUCUGGAAAAUUAUCCUCCUCUGUGGUUUGUUUUGCUUUGUGAUACUGUAGUGUCCCUCCUUGACUGCAGCCAGGCUUUGACUGUAUAGGGGCUGUAUAGGCGCUAGGGGCUUUAGCCUUUUACCAUGUAGCAUUAACCACAAGACUGCAUCAUGAGUUUUACCAUGUAGCAUUGAGUGUCAUGAUUCGGUAGCAUUAGCAUGUAGCAUGUUAACGUUCAAACCACAUAGGUUAUUAGUGUUAUCAUGUAGGCUAGCUCCCAGUGUCAUGCUAGCGGCUUUAGUAGUGAUCCAUGCUCUCUAAUUAGCAGAUUGUCCUCUGCUGUUACUCUCAAUUGGAUCAAGGUGCUAUAAAAAAAGCAGCUCAUCCUGUCACAGCUUUCUAUCUUCCUCUGUGGCCCCAAUCCCCUUUCUCAACAAUCUUCCUGUCCUCAAUUCAUGACCCGUGACCUCACAGCAGUACACACACACACUUACACCCAUGCACACUCUAAUUUCUCCACUCAGGGAUAGUUGGGGAAGAGAAGGCACAUACAUGCCAGUUAUUUGAGUCUGUUCUGGAGGGAGUGUAGAAUGACGUCUGAAACCUGUAGUCUGCUAACACCGUGGUUCUCAAAACUCCUCAGCGACCCCCGUUAUUUUAACACAUUUGUUAGCUCUGAACUAAUUCCAAAUGUGGCCAAUGUGCUCAAUGCAGUUUCACGUAGAAAUGUGACUCAUUUAACCACCCCCGCACAGGACUAAGAUUUAAGAUCAAAGGCCUGAUUACCUGCAUGCCCACCAAUGUUGUUUACAUUUUGAAAUGUCCCUGUGGUCUGUCUAACACAGCGAAAAGAAGCGGAUCAGUGAGUACCGCCGCAUAUACGGACAGGAAGUGUCACUGAGUACUGCCCAUAUAUAUAGGACCUUCCACCCCAACCUGGGAUACGGAUGCCUGAUGAAGACCUACGUGUCAAACAUUCUUAUAAUAAAAUCACCUGGGAACAUGA